rnacentral:rRNA from 1 species
GACGAACGCUGGCGACGUGCUUAACACAUGCAAGUUGAACGGUAAGGCCCUUCGGGGUACACGAGUGGCGAACGGGUGAGUAACACGUGGGUGAUCUGCCCUGCACUUCGGGAUAAGCCUGGGAAACUGGGUCUAAUACCGGAUAGGACUCCGGACUGCAUGGUCUGGGGUGGAAAGCUUUUGCGGUGUGGGAUGGGCCCGCGGCCUAUCAGCUUGGUGGUGGGGUGAUGGCCUACCAAGGCGACGACGGGUAGCCGGCCUGAGAGGGUGACCGGCCACACUGGGACUGGGAUACGGCCCAGACUCCUACGGGAGGCAGCAGUGGGGAAUAUUGCACAAUGGGCGCAAGCCUGAUGCAGCGACGCCGCGUGAGGGAUGACGGCCUUCGGGUUGUAAACCUCUUUCAGCAUCGACGAAGCGAAGGUGACGGUAGGUGCAGAAGAAGGACCGGCCAACUACGUGCCAGCAGCAGCCGCGG